rnacentral:rRNA from 1 species
GACGAACGCUGGCGGCGUGCUUAACACAUGCAAGUCGAGCGGUAAGGCCCUUUCGGGGGUACACGAGCGGCGAACGGGUGAGUAACACGUGGGUGACCUGCCCUUAGCUCUGGGAUAAGCCUGGGAAACUGGGUCUAAUACCGGAUAUGACUCCAUGACGCAUGUUGUGGGGUGGAAAGCCUUGUGCGGCUAGGGAUGGGCCCGCGGCCUAUCAGCUUGUUGGUGGGGUGANGGCCUACCAAGGCGACGACGGGUAGCCGGCCUGAGAGGGCGACCGGCCACACUGGGACUGAGACACGGCCCAGACUCCUACGGGAGGCAGCAGUGGGGAAUCUUGCGCAAUGGGCGAAAGCUUGACGCAGCGACGCCGCGUGAGGGAUGACGGCCU